rnacentral:rRNA from 1 species
UACGGAGGGCGCAAGCGUUGUUCGGAAUCAUUGGGCGUAAAGCGCGUGUAGGCGGUCUGGUCAGUCGGGUGUGAAAUACCGGAGCUCAACUCCGGAACGGCAUUCGAUACUGCCAGGCUAGAGUCCCGGAGAGGGUGGUGGAAUUCCCGGUGUAGAGGUGAAAUUCGUAGAUAUCGGGAGGAACACCAGUGGCGAAGGCGGCCACCUGGACGGUGACUGACGCUGAGACGCGAAAGCGUGGGGAGCAAACAGG